rnacentral:rRNA from 1 species
AAUGAACGCUGGCGGCAGGCCUAACACAUGCAAGUCGAGCGAGCGGCGGACGGGUGAGUAAUGUAUGGGGACUGCCCGAUAGAGGGGGAUAACUACUGGAAACGGUGGCUAAUACCGCAUACUAUCGGAUAACCCAUAUGGGAUUAGCUAGUAGGUGGGGUAAAGGCUCACCUAGGCGACGAUCCCUAGCUGGUCUGAGAGGAUGAUCAGCCACACGGGGACUGAGACACGGCCCAGACUCCUACGGAGGCAGCAGUGGGGAAUAUUGCACAAUGGGCGCAAGCCUGAUGCAGCCAUGCCGCGUGUAUGAAGAAGGCCUUCGGGUUGUAAAGUACUUUUGGCGGGGAAGCGUUAUCCGCAGAAGAAGCACCGGCUAACUCCGUGCCAGCAGCCGCGGUAAUAC